UACGUAGGGACCGAGCGUUGUCCGGAUUCAUUGGGCGUAAAGAGCUCGUAGGCGGUUUGUCGCGUCUGCCGUGAAAGUCCGGGGCUCAACUCCGGAUCUGCGGUGGGUACGGGCAGACUAGAGUGAUGUAGGGGAGACUGGAAUUCCUGGUGUAGCGGUGAAAUGCGCAGAUAUCAGGAGGAACACCGAUGGCGAAGGCAGGUCUCUGGGCCGAUACUGACGCUGAGGAGCGAAAGCGUGGGGAGCAAACAGG
rnacentral:rRNA from 1 species